AGGUCUCUGACCUAGAGGUCCAGAAUUUAAGUACUCACCCGGGGGAUCAAUGGAUUAAGCCCCAGUCUAUCUGUUCCAAGAUUGUGGUAGGCAAAAAAACCUCGUGGUUAAAAAAAAGUGAAAGAAAUUGAGCCGGGAAAAAUGUGAUCUUAAAUGUUUUAGUUGUGUUGUUUUCCAUUCGCCUCUGAAAAAAGGUGGCGCAUGCUACAUCAGAAUGACCUUUGUCAGUCGUUUUAAAUAAUUUUUGAAUUUUAACAAAUCUUGGCAAGCUCAGUUGAUCCAACUAUGGCCAAUAAAUAGCAUGCCAUGCCAGAAUCAGUUGCAGAUAGAGUAAAAAGCAUCACUCUGACCAAUCAGUGCCCUCCUCUGGGUGCACAGUUGUUGUUUUUUCUUCUUAAUGUUUUUUUUUUUUUUUCAAGACGAAGGACAAGCAAGUUCAAAUGGCUUUUGCCAUAUCUCCAUGAAUUAAUGUUUUUGUUGAUAAAGAUAUAUAUUUUAAGGCUGAAAAGCGACACGAAUGGAAACUUCGUAGUGGAAGGAAUGUUACUGGUGUCUUGCAAAGAUAGAAAAUGUACCUUUGGCGCUUCUCUAUCGCCAUGAUUCUUGGGCUUGUUUGGUAUUUCUCGGACUGCGGACAGGUUGUGGCUCAAAUAGUUUUGUGUUUACUAUUUUGGCCAUCAACCCCUCAUUUCUUCAUAAAGACCGGACGGGAAAGCGGCACUCAAACAUACGAUGUGGCUGAAGACAACUCAUUUCAGGAAACACUAAAGGAUGAACAUUUAGGUUGUGGUGUGACUGAUACAACAAGCACUAAAGCUAAAACAUCACAGGAGACACAGUUUCCCCAUGUGAAGAGGUCUCUUCAGCAAGUGUUUGAGUGUGCCUACGCCCAGCUAGUCCUCCCCUGGUACUGCGUCCCUGAGCCCUGUGACAGUCAGCUCCUGCACGGGGUGCUGUGGAAGGAGUUUGACCAAGUCAUUGAUCAAGUCAUCAGCAGAGGCAAAGACUUUGAUGUCUGCUCAGCAAGUGUGGGCUGCAUUCGCAUCCUGACCCAGCACCUCCAUAGUGCCAAACAGUCUGAUAGAGAACCAUUGUUCAGCUCUAGGGGAGAGGAGGUUGAAGUUCUAAGAGUCUUCUCUGAAGCACUGGUGCGAAACCUUUUCCCUCAGUCUCUAUGGGGACUGGCAGUCAGCCACUGUGCCUUAAAUGAGAUUGUUGCCUUAAAAGUGCUGGACCUGCUGGUGCGGUGGCUAUCAGACCCAGACAACCUCAACCAGCUGGUGGUGAGUCGGCUGGAUGGAGUGACCCCCAAGAGCUCUGUGGAAGAGCUGUGUGAGUCUAACUCUGACGGGGCCUCUCCAGCCGCCCUGGAGAGCCAGACCAGUGAUGCAACACUGGAAGAAACCGAGAAUGCUCAAACCGGUGAUGGCAAGUCCAAAAAGAAAGCCAACAAAUUGAAGGAAGGCUGGUCUAAAAUCCUUGACAAGAUGAAAUCGAAGAAAGAUAAAAGGAAGAAGAUGAAGAAAAAGGAGCAGGUGCUGGUGGUCAGAGCCAAGUCUAUCCAGGAUUGUUCAUCAAAGGAAAGUGAAGGUAGUAGCCGGGAGUGUUCCAUCCAGAGGCAGCAGGACCCCGACAGCGAGGAUGGUGAUCUGGAGAGCUACUUGACCAGCGUACAAGAAGAAAUGAUGGAAUUCAAGCUGUCAUAUGAGAUGUGGCGGGUUGGCCACUGGGCUGUCAGCGUCCCUCAUAUGGAGAGGGAAAAUGAGGAGAUGUGUUUUACAGUUCACCUAGAAGAGAGGGAUAACCCUGAGAACCUUCACUGGGAUGUAAAGAAGACCCAGACGGACAUCAUCCAUUUCUGCAACCUAUGGCAGGACUCUGCUAAUUUACCCUCCCUAUCCGUGUUAGAGGCAAGCACUGAGAGUAACAGCGAGGAUUUUAGAGAAGCCAAAACGUCCCUCAAGGUCUUCUUACAGGAGCUGGUCUCUGAUGCUCUGAUGGGCCACACUCAGCCAGUGUUUCAGUUUCUGUGUCCUCUGGACAAGCUGCUGAGUGAAGAGGAGCAUGUAGGGGGAGUGUGGGGUCUCCUUAGUGGCCUGGCCUACUUCCUGUCUCCAGGGCAAGAGGAAGAUGAGGACAAGCACAACACUCUUCAAAGAGGGACCAAAUCAGAUGAUUCCAACACACCUGAGAAUGCAGACUCAACUGCAACUGAGAAGCUGAAUGAAAACAUUGGUGAUACAAGGGAUGGUUCUCUUUCAGAACCAAGUCCCAUUGAGUGCUGCAGAGGUAAAGUGAUGGUGCCAGUAGAGAAAUCAGACUGUUUGGUUAAUGCAGGCAAAACCGAGGACACAAAAGAGGAAUCGGAGAACCCUGUAACUUCUCACCUAAAGAUGAUCAACAAAGAACUAUCCAGAUCAGAGGAGUGUCUGGCCCAAACAAAAUCCGACAACCCUGAAGACCAGACCGACUCUGUCUGUAGGCCGCGACAUUUCAGUCAAAAUGGAGGCUCGCAAUAUGACCUCGCUGACAGUCCGUCAUGGUGUUAUUUAGUUGGAAAGUCAAAUAAAAAGGAUAAACUCACUUUCAAAAUGUCAGGAGGGAUCCACAGGAGUAGAGUAAAGGACAUGGGGAGUCAGUCAAAAUUAGAAGACUCGCAGUGUUUGAAAAAGAACCAAUCCAGCUGGGAGCAAAUGGAAGCAACCAAAGCCAUUUUUGAUUUGUUGAAAGCAAUAUCUGGUAAUUCCAUCCUCCUGAACAUAUUUGAUGCGAUUCUGAAACCCGUCAUGCCGAUAUUGAAAAAGAAAGUGAAAAGCUUCUUGAAUAAGAUGAACCCAACGGAUGCCCAGAUGGCCUCCUAUAUCGAUAACCUAUGUGACAAACAGUGGCCUGAGGGCUCGCCAGAGGUGACCAGCCCUAAACCCCACCGCAGCAGUCAGGAAAAGAACGAGACCAAAGACCGAGCUCAGCACCUCAUCAAUGCCAGAUAUUCAAACUAUUUAAUCUUGAAGAAGACUGAUAUGGAGACAGUGUUUAAGCUCUUCCAGGACUGUGAAGAAAACAAGAAGCUGGUCUAUAUGCUGCUUUCAUUCCUUUUGAGAGAGCUUCUGCCGGGUGAGGAUGCCCUUAAUGUGAGUGCCAUAACCCUGCAGAAAGUGAACGCCAACUAACUCAUUUUAAGAUGUUCACAGGUCAUGCUUUUAAAUUAACUGUAGUUCUGAUGUUUUAGAAAAUUAAACAAUUUAUUUGAUUGGUUGUCAUGCCUUAACAGUCCCAUUUAAGUCUACACUUGGUGGGAGUAUUAUAAUAAAGAAAUCUUAUGAUACAUUUCCAGAGAAGUAUAUUUUACCUCAUACAUUAAACAUGCUGUGAAUCAUGCCUAUUAUUUAAAAUGUAUCAUAUGUUGACGUGUUAUGUAUUUGGCAAUAUCAGCACACUAAUGUGAGGUUAUUCAAGUUAAAACAUCCUCUACCGGUGACAAUGGCGUACAUCGUUAAUCUCAGAGGGGGCAUAAAUGUACUUUGAUUUCACUGGUAGUGACACACAGAGCACUUUGAAUAAAAUGUUGAAGUUUUGACCUAAAGGGUUUUGAGCACUUUGAGCACUUUCAUAGUUGAUGGGGAGACGUGUUAUAUCAGAAGCUUUUGAGGAAAGUUGUUAAUAUUUUGUUAUUGGAUUUUGAGAAUUUCCAGAAAUUACAUACGCACCUGCCUUCUAAAAGAAAGCUUGCAAGACACUGAAUGUGAAAAUUAAGUGUCUUGUUAAUAAAGCUAUUUUAUAUAUAUCUAUAUUAGAUUUUCCUUGCUUCUUUGGCUGCGUUUACACAGCAAGCCCAAUUCUGUUUUGUUUUUUAACCAAUUGGCCUUUGACCAAUCAGAUCAGCUCUGAAAAAGAGCUGAUGUGAUAUGAUUGGUCGUAAGACCAAAUCAUGGAGAGAAAAAAGUCAUAAUUGGGCUGCCUGUUAACACAGCCUCAGACAUAUGCCUGGUAUGCUUUAGAUUGUGUGGUAGGUAUAUUCUGUCUUCUGAUUCUUCCAGUCCUGCCAUAUGGGAUUAAUGAGUUUUAACGAGUUUUUCUAUGUUGAGCAUUUUUAUGUUCACAAAAAAAAAUGGAUCAUUAAAGUAACUGUUUAGCGUUUCUAGAUGUCUAUGAAAUAGAACCUUAGAAAAUGAGUGAAAUUGUUUUCCUUCACAAAAAUGUAAGAAUAUUAAAAGGCAGCUUUUCUUUGUUGGAAUACUGUGUGUAUACCCCAUCAACAGAAUGGUGUGGGCGUAUACCGGUUGAUAGAAAUAUUAACCCAUGUAGAUGCCUGAUUGGCCAGUUCAUCCUCUUCAGGAGGAUAACAUCAUCCUCUGAGUAAAGGGCAAGUAUUUUUAAACUGUCUGAGAUGUGGGUUCGAAGUGCUUUGGCCACAUGAGUAUAGGAUGAGUCAAGAACUUUAUUUGGGUAUGAGUUAACAGAAUAUAAACUUAUAAAAGUCAGAUUUCACUGAACAGUUUCUUUAAAGCCCACAUGCAGUCUUUUUAAAAUUAUUUUUAAAUCACUAUGUGCAUGAAAAUAACUUUCUUAUCAACUUUAAAUAUAUUUACAUACACAGCCCUGAUUGGCAGAUAUAAUUGUCUAGACCAUGGUUUUUCAAACUCUUAUCUGUGAAAGUGUUGGUUUUUGCCCUAGCACUACACAGCUGAUUCAAAUAACCAACUCAUAAUCAAGCAUUAACUAUUUGAAUCAGCUGUGUAGUGCUAGGGCAAAAACCAAAAUAUGCACCCGGGGGGGGCCACAGGACCAAGUUUGGGAAGCCCUGCUCUAGAGAAGUGAUUCACAAACUUUAUUUGGUUACUGUACCCCAAAUCACAUUACAUUUGCUCUGUCUGGAGAACCCACAAAGUACCCCCUCAUGUUCAUGUUACCAGUAGGCCUAUGGUCACUCAUGAGUUUUCCCGAGUACUUCCUGUGGAUAGCACAAGUACCCCAGGUUGGGAACCACUGCUAUAAAACCAACCCUGCUUACCCCAUCAAAGAAGGAGGAUACGUAUGCAAAUAAAAGAUGACUGGUUAUUGGUCUGAAUAAUCAGAUCAUAUUGUGAUGUCAUGCUGUGGACCAAAAACUCCAUCUCACCUGAACUGGCUGAAUUAUAACAUUUUUGCUCGAAAAACUCUUACACUAAAAGAGCAUUAUCAACAUUUUGCAAAUUCCAGAGUGUUAUUUCGACCUCAUAGUGUGGAAAUGUCAUAAAAAAAAAAUGGAAAUCACAUUGUUAACUGCACUGCACCUUUAAUGCUAUGCCUAAUGAUGAUACCCAAGUAAUAUUUGGGUAUCAUCAAAAUAGUAAUAUUGAUCUAGC
rnacentral:lncRNA from 1 species